rnacentral:rRNA from 1 species
UACGGGGGGAGCAAGCGUUGUUCGGCUUUACUGGGCGUAAAGGGCGCGUAGGCGGCCCCCGCAAGUCGACUGUGAAAUCUCCGGGCUUAACCCGGAAAGGUCAGCCGAUACUGCGGGGCUAGAGUGCAGAAGGGGCAACUGGAAUUCUCGGUGUAGCGGUGAAAUGCGUAGAUAUCGAGAGGAACACCUGCGGCGAAGGCGGGUUGCUGGGCUGACACUGACGCUGAGAAGCGAAAGCAUGGGGAGCGAACAGG